rnacentral:rRNA from 1 species
CAGUCGCCACGGGAAUACGAAGGGGGCUAGCGUUGUUCGGAUUUACUGGGCGUAAAGCGCACGUAGGCGGAUUCUUAAGUCAGAGGUGAAAUCCCAAGGCUCAACCUUGGAACUGCCUUUGAUACUGGGGAUCUUGAGUCCGGGAGAGGUGAGUGGAACUGCGAGUGUAGAGGUGAAAUUCGUAGAUAUUCGCAAGAACACCAGUGGCGAAGGCGGCUCACUGGCCCGGUACUGACGCUGAGGUGCGAAAGCGUGGGGAGCAAACAGGAUUAGAUACCCCAGUAGUCCCUGUCUCUUAUAU